AACGAACGCUGGCGGCAGGCCUAACACAUGCAAGUCGAACGCUCCGCAAGGGGAGUGGCGCACGGGUGAGUAACACGUGGGAACCUACCUUCUGGUACGGAGCAACCAAGGGAAACUUUGGCUAAGACCGUAUACGACCUCCGGGUGAAAGAUUGAUCGCCGGAAGAGGGGCCCGCGUCCGAUUAGGUAGUUGGUGAGGUAACGGCUCACCAAGCCUUCGAUCGGUAGCUGGUCUGAGAGGAUGACCAGCCACACUGGGACUGAGACACGGCCCAGACUCCUACGGGAGGCAGCAGUGGGGAAUCUUGCGCAAUGGGCGAAAGCCUGACGCAGCGACGCCGCGUGAGGGAUGACGGCCUGG
rnacentral:rRNA from 1 species